UUGGAUUGCAUUUAAUUACAAUAAGACAGUA
rnacentral:piRNA from 1 species